AGUGAACGUUGGCGGCGUGGAUUAGGCAUGCAAGUCGAGCGAGAACCGUAGCAAUACGGGGACAGCGGCGAAAGGGACAGUAAUGUGUAGGUACCUACCCCGGGGUCUGGGAUAGCUGCGGGAAACUGCAGGUAAUACCGGAUAAUGUCUUCGGACCAAAGGUGUGAUUCCACCUUGGGAGGGGCCUGCAUCCUAUUAGCUUGUUGGCGGGGUAACGGCUCACCAAGGCAACGCUGGGUAGCGGGUGUGAGAGCACGACCCGCGUCAUUGGGACUGAGAUACUGCCCAGACACCUACGGGUGGCUGCAGUCGAGGAUCUUCGGCAAUGGGCGAAAGCCUGACCGAGCGACGCCGCGUGCGGGAUGAAGGCCUUCGGGUUGUAAACCGCUGUCGUAGAGGAGGAAAUGCAGGGGGGUUCUCCCUUCUGUUUGACCUAUUCUAGGAGGAAGGACGGGCUAAGUUCGUGCCAGCCGCCGCUGUAA
rnacentral:rRNA from 1 species